AGUGAACGCUGGCGGUAGGCCUAACACAUGCAAGUCGAACGGCAGCACAGUAAGAGCUUGCUCUUACGGGUGGCGAGUGGCGGACGGGUGAGGAAUACAUCGGAAUCUACUUUUUCGUGGGGGAUAACGUAGGGAGACUUACGCUAAUACCGCAUACGACCUACGGGUGAAAGCAGGGGAUCUUCGGACCUUGCGCGAUUGAAUGAGCCGAUGUCGGAUUAGCUAGUUGGCGGGGUAAAGGCCCACCAAGGCGACGAUCCGUAGCUGGUCUGAGAGGAUGAUCGGCCACACUGGAACUGAGACACGGUCCAGACUCCUACGGGAGGCAGCAGUGGGGAAUAUUGGGCAAUGGGGGCAAGCCUGAUCCAGCCAUACCGCGUGGGUGAAGAAGGCCUUCGGGUUGUAAAGCCCUUUUGUUGGGAAAGAAAAGCAGCAGGUUAAUACCCCGCUGUUCUGACGGUACCCAAAGAAUAAGCACCGGCUAACUUCGUG
rnacentral:rRNA from 1 species